ensembl:lncRNA
UAACAAGAUGGAAAAUGGGAAAUGUCAGAGAUGACAGAGCUGCUUGCAUCCUGGUGACCUGUGUUCCUCAGAAGAAGCCGGCCAUCUGUGUGCUGUAAAAGAACAUCAGACCAGAUACUGUGAGAAUCUGCAUGGAGAAAGAGAAGACAAGGAAUCACAUAAAGAAUUCACAGCCCCGGUGCUUCCCAUUUUGCCUGUAAGUGAGCCUUGUCUAGAACUUCUCCAACUUCACCUUUCAGCCAGAAGUUCAGCUUUCUUGGCCUGCUACAACUCUCUCGUCAGUGAACCUGCUCUGCCAACCGCCUGCCAGUCUGCCUUUCACCUGCCACGUACUUUCCCGGAUGAGCCACGCACCCCUGGGAAACUUCAGUGCAGCUCACCAUCACUCGCUUCAAAGUGUAAACAAAGCUAUUUCUGUUAUCAGCUUUGGUCUGAGUACUGCCUUUUGUUUUGUUUUGUGUGGCAUGUACAUUUUAUAUGCAUAAAAUCUUGACACCUAUAAUGACUAUUUUGGCUUGUUAGGCCCCUGUGGUUGUGUCUCAAACCCUCUGCAGUGUUAGAUUUUGACUGCUUUGUGCACUUGUUCACGUGAAUGCUUUUACUAAGUAAGACUGGUAAGACUGAUUAUGCUCUCUUUGCAUUUAACCUCCUAGGACCUGGCAUCUACAUAUGUGGACAUCACAUUUUGGGUUGUCUGGACCAAAAUACUAAAUUUUGCUCUACAAGGGCCUGAUAUCCACUUACUAGGACAUUAUACUACCACUGUUCUAUCCAAAUUUAAAACGAAUGUCCUCACAUGUGGAUCUCAUUUUUCUCAGAAACAAAAAUAAGGUAAAAAAAAAUCUGGCAAUUCUUUUUUUUUACAUUCAUCAGGUCCCAAUCAGCCCGAAUAACAAAGAAAAAUUAAAAAUGCAUGCCAUGAAAGAGUUUGGGUCUUAGGAGGUUAAUACUGUGUCACAUGUUUUUAAAGUUUUAGCAGUUGAGUUGUACAUGAAGCUUAAGAACUUGAUUUACUCACGUGCAGCACCGCUGGAACCUCUGUUCACACUGCAUUAAAAUCAUACAUAUGAAAAUGUAUAUUUCAAACUGAAAUGUUUUAUCUUUAUGUAAUUUUAAAUGCUGCUUGCUUAAUUUCUUUGCUGUUGUUAGAAUUGUAUUCAGCCCAUUUAAUCUUUGAUUUAUGCACUCAUGUACACACCAAUCACUGAAUCUUUUUCUAAAUUAUUAUUUUUACUGUCCUAAGUUUCAAGUUGUGGCAAAUCUUCUACCCACCCAGUGGCAUGGAGUUGUUUCCAGUAGUAUCAAUAAUAACUAGGUGAAAAUUUAUACACAGGGUUAGGACAAGGACCUAAGUUUAGCUUUAAUUAGUUGGUUGGUAUCAGGUACGUAGCCAGCUGGCUACUAAUGAAUGCUAUUCAUGCAGAUAUAGAGCAGAGAUACAAUUAUGUGGCAUAAAUGGCAAAACCCCACUUUUACAAAAGAUGUCCAAAAGUCAAGGUUUAGCUUGAAAAAAAAAAACCCCUCAAAAACCUCUCAAAAAAACAAACAACCCCCCCCCCCCCCCAAAAAAACCCCCCAAAAAACAAAAUUACUUGGCUAAUAAUCUAAAGAGUCUGAAACAGUAUCCAGUCAGCCAAUGAUAAAAGAAAGUAACACUGAAUGAAGUAACAUAAUUUCCAUGAAAAAAAAGUAGAAUUAAGUAUACACAUGUUCAGUGUCAUAAUUAUCAUGGCAAACAGGCUACAGUCGUGCUGUUUUGUGUUUUUGUGGAUAGUAGAAAUUCAUGGAUUUGAGGUCAGAGCAACCAAACUGGGAGCCCUUGUAGAUGAUGCGCUCUGCCCCGCUGUCGCUCAGAGUUUUGAGAAAAUAUUUAUUUCCCUUUUAUUAAUGAAUGUUUUUACAGUGGUUUACAGGUAUUCUCUGUUGUUCUGGAACAUUUUUUUUUGUUUUAUUACACUUUUUAAGUUAUCAGCUGAUACAUUUCUUAGAACAGCUCAAACAUACAGAACAACCUAGGCAAACAAAAUAAAAAUAAAAAACAGGCAGGACCUUUACAUUAUUUGUCAAAAAAGAUGUUUUACAUAAAAAAAUAUAGUAAUUUCCAUCAAAAUGACAAACUUCUUUGACACUGUACAAAUCUGGACAUGUCGCUGUUUAGAUGUUUGACAGAAUGACAGCAGUUUCUGAGAUUUUGUUUCUAAUCUUCUAAUUUCCUGAAAAUGUCUCAUCUUUUAAGUGACCUAAUUGCUUUUGCAGACAGUGAAUGCUUCCACUAUUAGUGUUGCUUGACUCCUGUUAUGUAUUGAAGAAUAUUUAUCACAAUCUGAAGAUGCUGAAUUGUUUUGCAUUGUUCUUUAAAAUGAGAAAGAGCUGUUGUUAUAUUUGCACAUAUUGUGAGUGGGAUAAACAUUUUUCCUGCAGCGAUUACACAACACAGUCAGCUACUUAGAGGAAUAUCAGUUGAAAACAGAUUGUCAUCAGUAUCGCACCUCGUGCUCUCCCCUGUAGUGUUACGGGAAGAACCAAGCGGAUCCAGCAACUAUAUUUAACUGCUAUCAGAGCAGACUCCUCCAUGUUCACAGUUUGUUUUAACUGUGUUGUGCUCAAGUUCUAUGAAUACUACGACAAAAUGUUACAACCAGUCAUAUCACUGACUUACACCUGUGUCCUUGGCAGAUUUUGACAGUUAUGUGGUUGUUUCUGCAUGCAAUCAUCUACACAGCGAAAUAAUGAAAGGAUCUUUCAUGGUGUAAAACUAUUUUUAGCUGAUAGAAACAUUAAAUUGAACAUUUGUUUAAAUUAUAGACAGUGUUGCGUCAUAGUUUACCUAAAUGCACUAAAACAAUUGUAAUGCUAACAAAAAUGAGGACUCCUCUUAUGAUAAAUGCAUCGCCUGCAGAAUGAGAGAAUGCGCCUGUGCUCCUCUUAGCUAUGUCAUCUUUUCAUUAUAAAUAAAAAACCAUUUAACAAUAAUCGUAUCUGUACAAAUGACCUCUCCGACCUCAAAUGAGGUUUUAGGAUGAAACUGAUGACAGACAACAGCAGUGUACUGGGCUGG